rnacentral:rRNA from 1 species
GGAGUUAGCCGGUGCUUCUUCUGUGAGUGAUGUCCUUCCUGCCGGCUAUUAACCCGCAGGCCUUCUUCCUCACUGAAAGUGCUUUACAACCCGAAGGCCUUCUUCACACACGCGGCAUGGCUGGAUCAGGGUUGCCCCCAUUGUCCAAUAUUCCCCACUGAUGCCUCCCGUAGGAGUCUGGGCCGUGUCUCAGUCCCAGUGUGGCUGAUCAUCCUCUCAGACCAGCUACGGAUCGUCGCCUUGGUGAGCCGUUACCUCACCAACCAGCUAAUCCGACAUAGGCUCAUCCGAUAGCGCGAGGCCCGAAGGUCCCCCGCUUUCCCCCGUAGGGCGUAUGCGGUAUUAGCCUGGGUUUCCCCAGGUUAUCCCCCACUACCGGGCAGAUUCCUAUGCAUUACUCACCCGUCCGCCGCUCGCCACCAGGGAGCAAGCUCCCCGUGCUGCCGCUCGACUUGCAUGUGUUAGGCCUGCCGCCAGCGUUCAAUCUGAGCCAUAAUCAAACUCUGA